UCAGGCCUCCAGCAGAGGGACUGCAGAUGUAGGGGAAGCUGACCCCCCAGUUAACAGGCUCAGAACUUGGAGGGGGCAGUCCCACAACAGGCUCACAUCCUGCCUUUCAGACUUGCAGCAGCUAAUGCUGAUGCUAGGGCCUUGUCCUGACAGGAAGCCUCUGAUUAGGGCCCUGAACUGCCUUCCUUUUUGCAUCUGCAGACACAUGGAGGCAACCACUCAAGGCCACUCUGAGAAGGGUUGAACCUGCUUUAUUAAAAGGACUGAGGAUCAGUACGUUGAGCUGCAUGGUAGCUUGGAUCAAUGCCUGAAUCCUGUGUUCCUGAGUGCAGAGCAUCUUUGCUCUGGGUGAGCUUUGACCACCCUGGAGAAGAAGGCUGCUGCAGCGGUGGAACAAAGCCAAGACCAAUGGCCAGCGGCCAAGGCCAGCCAGAUGGUUCUGUGCUGGCAGCCGGCGUACAUGGAUUUUACCUGAAGAAAAAUGUCACGUUUUCCACAGACAACUGAAGAAAAGGAGCUCUUUGGAUUACCUUAAUCAUGAUUUAGUCACUGGAACCUCUGUCUGUGGAUCGUCCAAAAUUAAGUCUCAAAGCUAAAAUAUGAGGCUUCAAUGAGUUAUCCUGAAAUCAGUGCUUGAUAUCUUCUUGCUUUUUGCUUGUUUUUUUUUUAAAUCUUAAUUCUCUUAUUUUUCUGUCAUAUUUAUCAGUGCCUCGUACAUUAUCACCAUUAUCCAUGCCAGUUA